rnacentral:rRNA from 1 species
GUUAUGAAAUAUUAUUCAAGUUAUUUUAUUUCUGGUUCUCUGAGAGAUUUAAUUGGUUAUAGUUUUGUUAGGUCAAUAAGUAGGGAUUAGCUUAUUUAUUGUUUAUAUGCGUUUAUAGAGUAGAUUUGUUUGUGAAGUUGAUAGUGCUUAUUUUUAAGGAGUUAUUAUAAGACAGGAGUUUUAUAUUAUUAUUUUAAAGUUGUGUGAUUAUUGGAGUUGGUUAGUUAAUUUUUUCUUUUGUGGAGUAAUGAUUAUAUUAGUAAUAUUUUAUUUAUUUUAAGGGGGUGUAUUUAGGGUAAGUUGGUAGUGAUUAAAUUAAUUUUUAAUUGGGGUAGAUGAAUUCGGCAAAGUUAAUUUUUGACUGUUUAGCAAAAACAUUGUUUUUUGUAAGAUUAAAAAAUAAGUUCUGUCCACUGCUAUUAGGUGAAGGGCUGCAGUAUUUUGACUGUAUGAAGGUAGCAUAAUCAUUAGCUUUUUAAUUGGGGGCUGGUAUGAAGGUGAAACAGGGGUUGUCUGUGUUUGCUCCAUUUAUUGAAUUUUAUUUCUGUGUGAAAAAUCAUAGUUGAAUUAGAGGGACAAGAAGACCCUAAUAAGUUUUAUUUUUUUACUUGAUGAUAGUAUAGGUGUGUAUUUGUUUGAUUGGAGUAGGGGGGUUUAGCUGGGGCGGCUAGUUGUUUAACACGAUUAAUUUUUUAACUUUGUUUGGC